GACGAACGCUGGCGGCGUGCUUAACACAUGCAAGUCGAACGGUAAGGCCUCUUCGGGGGUACACGAGUGGCGAACGGGUGAGUAACACGUGAGUAACCUGCCCUUGACUUUGGGAUAACAUCUGGAAACAGGUGCUAAUACCGGAUAUGAGCCUUUUCCGCAUGGGGAGGGUUGGAAAGCUCCGGCGGUCAUGGAUGGACUCGCGGCCUAUCAGCUUGUUGGGGAGGUAGUGGCUCACCAAGGCUCCGACGGGUAGCCGGCCUGAGAGGGCGACCGGCCACAUUGGGACGGAGAUACGGCCCAAACUCCUACGGGAGGCAGCAGUGGGGAAUCUUGCGCAAUGGGCGAAAGCCUGACGCAGCGACGCCGCGUGGGGGAAGAAGGCUUUCGGGUUGUAAACCCCUUUCAGGAGGGACGAAGCCACUCGGGUGAAUAGCCCAGAGGGUGACGGUACCUCCAGAAGAAGCCCCGGCUAACUAC
rnacentral:rRNA from 1 species